rnacentral:rRNA from 1 species
GGAUCCAGACUUUGAUUAUGGCUCAGGGUGAACGCUAGCUACAGGCUUAACACAUGCAAGUCGAGGGGAAACGAUAGAGAAAGCUUGCUUUUUCUAGGCGUCGACCGGCGCACGGGUGAGUAACGCGUAUCCAACCUGCCCAUCACUUGGGGAUAACCUUGCGAAAGUAAGACUAAUACCCAAUGACGUCUCUAGAAGACAUCUGAAAGAGAUUAAAGAUUUAUCGGUGAUGGAUGGGGAUGCGUCUGAUUGGCUUGUUGGCGGGGUAACGGCCCACCAAGGCGACGAUCAGUAGGGGUUCUGAGAGGAAGGUCCCCCACAUUGGAACUGAGACACGGUCCAAACUCCUACGGGAGGCAGCAGUGAGGAAUAUUGGUCAAUGGACGAGAGUCUGAACCAGCCAAGUAGCGUGCAGGAAGACGGCCCUAUGGGUUGUAAACUGCUUUUAUAAGGGAAUAAAGUGAGUCUCGUGAGACUUUUUGCAUGUACCUUAUGAAUAAGGACCGGCUAAUUCCGUGCCAGCAGCCGCGGUAAUACGGAAGGUCCGGGCGUUAUCCGGAUUUAUUGGGUUUAAAGGGAGCGUAGGCCGGAGAUUAAGCGUGUUGUGAAAUGUAGACGCUCAACGUCUGCACUGCAGCGCGAACUGGUUUCCUUGAGUACGCACAAAGUGGGCGGAAUUCGUGGUGUAGCGGUGAAAUGCUUAGAUAUCACGAAGAACUCCGAUUGCGAAGGCAGCUCACUGGAGCGCAACUGACGCUGAAGCUCGAAAGUGCGGGUAUCGAACAGGAUUAGAUACCCUGGUAGUCCGCACGG